rnacentral:rRNA from 1 species
UACGUAGGGUGCGAGCGUUAAUCGGAAUUACUGGGCGUAAAGCGUGCGCAGGCGGUUCGUGAUGUCUGAUGUGAAAGCCCCGGGCUCAACCUGGGAAUUGCAUUGGAAACUAGCGGGCUGGAGUGUGGCAGAGGGGGGUGGAAUUCCACGUGUAGCAGUGAAAUGCGUAGAGAUCAGGAGGAAUACCGAUGGCGAAGGCAGGUCCCUGGGUUAACACUGACGCUCAUGCACGAAAGCGUGGGGAGCAAACAGG